rnacentral:rRNA from 1 species
GAUGAACGCUGGCGGCGUGCCUAAUACAUGCAAGUCGAGCGAACAGACCAGGAGCUUGCUCCUCUGACUUUAGCAGCGGACGGGUGAUUAACACGGGGAUAAACUACCUAUAAGACUGGGAUAACUACGGGAAACCGGAGCUAAUACCCGAUGAUUUAUUGCACCUCAUUGGUCAAUCGUGGAAGUCGGUUUUGCUUUGACUAAUAGAUGGAUCAGCGCCGCAUUAGUUAGUUGUUAAGGUAACGGCUUACCAAGGCAAGGAUGCGUAGACGACCUGAGAGGGUGAUCGGCCAGACUGGAAGUGAGACACGGUCCAGACUCCGACGGUAGGCAGCAGUAGGGAAUCUUCCGCAAGGGGGGAAAGCUGGACGGAGCAACGCCGCGGGAGUGAUGAUGGUCUUCGGAUCGGAAAACUAUGUUAUUAGGGAAGAACAAAUGUGUAAGUAACUAUGAACGUCUUGACGGUACCUAAUCAGAAAGCCACGGCUAACUACGUG